CAGUAGCCACGGGAAUACGUAGGUGGCAAGCGUUGUCCGGAAUUAUUGGGCGUAAAGGGCUCGCAGGCGGUUUCUUAAGUCUGAUGUGAAAGCCCCCGGCUCAACCGGGGAGGGUCAUUGGAAACUGGGAAACUUGAGUGCAGAAGAGGAGAGUGGAAUUCCACGUGUAGCGGUGAAAUGCGUAGAGAUGUGGAGGAACACCAGUGGCGAAGGCGACUCACUGGUCUGUAACUGACGCUGAGGAGCGAAAGCGUGGGGAGCGAACAGGAUUAGAUACCCGGGUAGUCCCUGUCUCUUAUAC
rnacentral:rRNA from 1 species